rnacentral:rRNA from 1 species
AACCUUCCACAAUGGACGAAAGUCUGAUGGAGCAACGCCGCGUGAGCGAAGAAGGUUUUCGGAUCUUAAAGCUCUGUUGCGAGAGAGGAACCAGUACGGGAGUAACUGCCCGUACCUUGACGUUACCUCGUCAGAUAGCCAUGGCUAACUACGUGCAAGCAGCCGCGGUAAUACGUAGGUGGCAAGCGUUGUCCGGAAUUAUUGGGCGUAAAGCGCGCGGAGGCGGUCCUUUAAGUCUGAUGGGAAAGCCCACGGCUCAACCGUGGAGGGUCAUUGGAAACUGGAGGACUUGAGUACAGAAGAGGAAAGCGGAAUUCCACGUGUAGCGGUGAAAUGCGUAGAGAUGUGGAGGAACACCAGUGGCGAAGGCGGCUUUCUGGUCUGUAACGGACGCUGAGGCGCGAAAGCGUGGGGAGCAAACA